AAAACGACUCUCGGCAACGGAUAUCUCGGCUCUCGCAUCGAUGAAGAACGUAGCGAAAUGCGAUACUUGGUGUGAAUUGCAGAAUCCCGUGAACCAUCGAGUCUUUGAACGCAAGUUGCGCCCGAAGCCUUCGGGCCGAGGGCACGUCUGCCUGGGCGUCACGCA
rnacentral:rRNA from 2 species